UACGUAGGGUGCGAGCGUUACUCGGAAUUACUGGGCGUAAAGCGUGCGCAGGCGGUUUUGUAAGCCAGAUGUGAAAUCCCCGGGCUCAACCUGGGAAUGGCAUUUGGGACUGCAAGGCUGGAGUGCGGCAGAGGAGACUGGAAUUCCUGGUGUAGCAGUGAAAUGCGUAGAUAUCAGGAGGAAUACCGAUGGCGAAGGCAGGUCUCUGGGCUGACACUGACGCUCAUGCACGAAAGCGUGGGGAGCAAACAGG
rnacentral:rRNA from 1 species